GACAGAGGGUGCAAACGUUGUUCGGAAUUACUGGGCGUAAAGCGCGUGUAGGCGGCCAUCUAAGUCGGGCGUGAAAUCCCACGGCUCAACCGUGGAAGUGCACUCGAAACUGGAUGGCUAGAGUCCUGGAGAGGAAGGUGGAAUGCUUGGUGUAGAGGUGAAAUUCGUAGAUAUCGGGAGGAACACCAGUGGCGAAGGCGGCGAUCUGGGCUGAUACUGACGCUGAGGUGCGAAAGCGUGGGGAGCAAACAGG
rnacentral:rRNA from 1 species